rnacentral:rRNA from 1 species
AGCGAACGCUGGCGGCGUGCCUAACACAUGCAAGUCGAACGCGAAAAGGGAAACCUGAGUAAAGUGGCGUACGGGUGAGUAACGCGUAGGUAAUCUACCCCAGAAUCUGGAAUAACCUGCCGAAAGGCGGGCUAAUACUGGAUAGAGCGAGGGAACUCGUAAGAGAGUUUUUCGGGAAAGGGAGCCCGCAAGGGCCUUCGUUCUGGGAUGAGCCUGCGUCUCAUUAGCUAGUUGGUAAGGUAACGGCUUACCAAGGCGAUGAUGAGUAGCUGGUCUGAGAGGAUGAUCAGCCACACUGGAACUGAAACACGGUCCAGACUCCUACGGGAGGCAGCAGUGGGGAAUCUUGCGCAAUGGACGAAAGUCUGACGCAGCCACGCCGCGUGAGUGAAGAAGGCCUUCGGGUUGUAAAGCUCUGUCGGAUGGGACGAACAUCUUCAUAGUGAAUAGCUAUGAGGACUGACGGUACCAUCAAAGGAAGCACCGGCUAACUCCGUG